rnacentral:rRNA from 1 species
AUUGAACGCUGGCGGCAGGCCUAACACAUGCAAGUCGAGCGGAUGAAGGGAGCUUGCUCCUGGAUUCAGCGGCGGACGGGUGAGUAAUGCCUAGGAAUCUGCCUGGUAGUGGGUGAUAACGUCCGGAAACGGGCGCUAAUACCGCAUACGUCCUGAGGGAGAAAGUGGGGGAUCUUCGGACCUCACGCUAUCAGAUGAGCCUAGGUCGGAUUAGCUAGUUGGUGGGGUAAAGGCCUACCAAGGCGACGAUCCGUAACUGGUCUGAGAGGAUGAUCAGUCACACUGGAAGUGAGACACGGUCCAGACUACUACGGGAGGCAGCAGUGGGGAAUAUUGGACAAUGGGCGAAAGCAUGAUCCAGCCAUGCCGCGUGUGUGACGAAGGUCUUGGGAUCGUAAAGCACUUUAAGUUGGGAGGAAGGGCAGUAAGUUAAUACCUUGCUGUUUUGACGUUAACAACAGAAUAAGCACCGGCUAACUUCGUG